ensembl:lncRNA
UUGUGUUGGUCAUUUUAACAAGUAAAACUUUAUUGUACUGAUACUCAAGUUGCAAAAUAUGACACUUUGUGUUUUAUUGUUUUUCUUUUCAUGUGGUGGUAUUAGACAGGGUCUUUAAACACCUCCCUUUGGAGUGCUGAGGAUCCUAUAGGGCUGCUGCAGCCCCCAACUUUCCCCAAAUUAUCACUUUUCCCAGAAAUCCUGGUGGAAGGAGUCCCGGAGUUCCUGCUUAUUCCCCUCAUAUUCCCAGGAAUCUUCCAGCCAGGAUUUGUGUAAAACCAGGGAAUUAAGAAUUGUGUGAUCCCAGUCAUAUGGUUUAAAAAGACUACAGGCCUUAUGUAUUUUCCUAGAAAGUGCAACAGUAUGUAUAUAGUACAUAUAUAUACACCAGCAUUGUGCCUGUCCACGGCUGAGAGGAGGAUGGCCUAGAAAUACAUUGAGGAGACUGUGAAGGAGGGGAUAAACAGCGGUCCACGGGUUGCGUCCCAAAUGGAACACUGUGCCCUACUUUGUGCACUACUCUUGGCCAGAGAGCUCUAUAGGCCUGGGUCAAAAGUAGUGCACUAAGUAGGGAAUAUGGUGCCAUUUGGGACAUGCCCUAUGAUAUUAGGCGACGGAACACGACAUUAAAGAGUAGAAGAGAAUAUGGAAUUGUAUUCAAAGGAGAAGAGUGUUAAGACAAUGUAAUUAUAAUAAUAAUAGUAAUAAUGACAAUAUAAUGUUAUUUUCAAACCUGGACAACGGAGUCAGAGCAUGUAAUGACACCUUUCUAAUAGAAGAUGUUAAAUGAGUUGUGAUGUGUUUAACGUGAGAAUGAGUAAACUACGAGGCUGGAUUUGACAGAAGGAAUGCAGGUCAUUAAGAAGACAGAACAUGAACUGGUUCCACGACGCUCAGUUGAUAAGAGCAUCACGACACGAGAGGUUCCCGCUGGGCACACCCAGACAACAGAACCCCUGACCGUCGCGUUGGAAAGAAGUAUCUGCUAUGUGCCUUAUUAUUAUUAUUAUUAUUCAUCUGAAUGGAACUAGUGUCAAGACAGAAGUGUACAGUUGAGUGUAUGUAUUAACACAAGGACAGGAAGAACACACCACACUGGAAACAAUAAGAUCAAGACCUUCUGUAGCUUCCUCGAGCUUGGUCCACCGGGGGGGAUGACGACACACGCCAAGGGGGUAGGAGAGGGGGAGGGUGGGGAGGUGAGUGCAGAGUGUUGUGCGUUUGUCCCAAAUGGCACCCUAUUCCCUUUAGAGUGCACUACUUUUGACCAGAGCCCAUAGGGUUCUGGUCGAAAGUAGUGCACUAUUUAGGGAACAGGGGUCCAUUCAGAACAAAUACCAGUAUGUGUGGAGCAAUAUGCUAGCCUAGUACAUAGGAGACAGUUGUUACAGAGACAGGCGCCUGUCCCAAUAUGGUAGUUAGGAGACAGUUGUUACAGAGACAGGCGCCUGUCCCAAUAUGGUAGUUAGGAGACAGUUGUUACAGAUAAUGGCCCUGUCCCAAUAUGGUAGUUAGGAGACAGUUGUUACAGAGACAGGUGCCUGUCCCAAUAUGGUAGUUAGGAGACAGUUGUUACAGAGACAGAUGCCUGUCCCAAUAUGGUAGUUAGGAGACAGUUGUUACAGAGAAUUGCCCUGUCCCAAUAUGGUAGUUAGGGGACAGUUGUAAAGGGGAUGUCCCUGUCCCAAUAUGGUAGUUAGGAGACAGUUGUUUCGGAGACAGGUGCCUGUCCCAAUAUGGUAGUUAGGAGACAGUUGUUACAGAGACAGGUGCCUGUCCCAACAUGCUAGUUAGGAGACAGUUGCUACAGAGAAUUUCCCUGUCCCAAUAUGGUACUUAGGAGACAGUUGUUACAGAGAAUGGCCCUGUCCCAAUAUGGUAGUUAGGAGACAGUUGUUACAGAGAAAGGCCCUGUCCCAAUAUGGUAGUUAGGAGACAGUUGUUACAGAGAACGGCCCUGUCCCAAUAUGGUAGUUAGGAGACAGUUGUUACAGAGACAGGUGCCUGUCCCAAUAUGGUAGUUAGGAGACAGUUGUUACAGAGACAGAUGCCUGUCCCAAUAUGGUAGUUAGGAGACAGUUGUUACAGAGAAUGGCCCUGUCCCAAUAUGGUAGUUAGGAGACAGUUGUUACAGAGACAGGUGCCUGUCCCAAUAUGGUAGUUAGGAGACAGUUGUUACAGAGAAUGCCCUGUCCCAAUAUGGUACUUAGGAGACGGUUGUUACAGAGAAUGGCCCUGUCCCAAUAUGGUAGUUAGGAGACAGUUGUUACAGAUAACUGCCCUGUCCCAAUAUGGUAGUUAGGAGACAGUUGUUACAGAUAAUUGCCCUGUCCCAAUAUGGUAGUUAGGAGACAGUUGUUACAGAGAAUGCCCUGUCCCAAUAUGGUAGUUAGGAGACAGUUGUUACAGAGACAGGUGCCUGUCCCAAUAUGGUAGUUAGGAGACAGUUGUUACAGAGAAUGGCCCUGUCCCAAUAUGGUAGUUAGGAGACAGUUGUUACAGAGAAUUGCCCUGUCCCAAUAUGGUAGUUAGGAGACAGUUGUUACAGAGACAGGUGCCUGUCCCAAUAUGGUAGUUAGGAGACAGUUGUUACAGAGAAUUUCCCUGUCCCAAUAUGGUAGUUAGGAGACAGUUGUUACAGAGACAGGUGCCUGUCCCAAUAUGGUAGUUAGGAGACAGUUGUUACAGAGAAUGGCCCUGUCCCAAUAUGGUAGUUAGGAGACAGUUGUUACAGAUAAUGGCCCUGUCCCAAUAUGGUAGUUAGGAGACAGUUGUUACAGAGACAGGUGCCUGUCCCAAUAUGGUAGUUAGGAGACAGUUGUUACAGAGAAUGGCCCUGUCCCAAUAUGGUAGUUAGGAGACAGUUGUUACAGAGAAAGGCCCUGUCCCAAUAUGGUAGUUAGGGGACAUUUGUUACAGAGAAUGGCCCUGUCCCAAUAUGGUAGUUAGGAGGCAG